rnacentral:lncRNA from 1 species
UAUAUCGUAUAAUGUAUCAAACAAUCUAAUUUGUGACAGUAAACCGUAUUGACAAAUGAUAAUAUCAAUUAUCACAAUUAUCAAAAUAGUUAAGUAACGACUUUGUACAUUAAUAAAAGCGACUUGAUAUAUUUCAGUGUGUGAUGAGAAGUGAACGGAAAAUGUUCUAGUGGAAGCAAACAUAAAGUAUAAAUAAAAAACAAGAGAAUAGUGUUAAGUAUAUAUAUAACAGUGUAAAGAAGAAAAACCGAAAAUAUAUUUUUAGAUCGUACCAUACUUUUGAGACGGUGUUAUAACUAAAGUUUAAAUUAUUAAUUACAUUACAACGACGUGACGUCAUUGGAAUAAUGCACUCUUCAGUUUCUCUUUGGAUGUUUUCAAUGUUAUUAAUUCUUCCUGAAUACCGAUGUCAGUUAGGAGUAGGAUUGUUUGAAUCACUCCUCGGCACAAACCAGCAGGAAUUGUCACCAUUCAAUCAAAAUAUUAACCUACAGCCUUACAAUAAACCAAACAGAAGACCGAUGAACAACCUGAACCCUGACACACGGGUUACGCUUGAAGAACAAAAAGAAAAGUUAGAAGAUAUCCUAGCUAAACUGCAAGAGAUGAAUAAGUUGAAAGAGGAACAGAGACAGAAGGAGAAAGGCACGACGACUGAGAGAAAUGUCAACAAUAGACCUAAUAUAAACAACAAUAACAAUCAAGGCAUGACUUCUCCAAGACCAGUAGUCCAACCUACUAAAAGACCUGACGUGAGCAACAGAUGGAAGAAGGUAAUGACUAAGAAGUUCAUGUUUCAAGCGCAACCUGUUGUACCCGGGGAUCAGGUUUCAAAUUAUAAUAUGGAUGAAUUUGUAUAUUAUAUAGAAAAAUAAAACUCAAUGCUUACAUAAAAUAUGUAAUGUUUGGGUUUAUAUUCGUGUGGGUACAAACUGUUCUGACCGAAUCCGAAUGCGGCAGUUUCAUUAACACUCCCGUUUCUCGCCACGGAAUGUUCCCGCUGAUGUACAUUAUACAUAAGCUUAAAAGAAACCGUUACCGUUAUUUACCUACUUACUCACAUAAAUAUAUAUCUAAUAAUAUGACUUUAUAAACAAACGAAUGUUGAAUUUAUUAAUAAAAUAUGUACUUAAAUAAAUGUCAUUUAAUAUUUACAUAAGAUAAUUUAUAUCUUUUUAUCGGAGUACGACAGUAUAUAUUGUCUAGAAUUUGUCGGAAAUUCCUGACUUGCCAAGAAAUUACACACCCUUUUUAUAUUCAGGUUUUUUUUAACUAGUAAGUAAACAAAACUAAAUUCUUGAUUUUAUGAAUAUACUUCAUUAAGUAUUUGUUUAUUUAAUAGUCAAUAGGAAAUCCCGCUUCGAUAAAUCACAAAAAAACACUAAGUGAAUGCAAAAUAAAAACUAUUUUUGUGAUUGUUUACAACUCUCUGACUAAUUGUACCUACAAUUGUACAGAUAUUUCAAUAUACUGUAUUCAUAAAAUAUACUUAUUUAGCAAUUGUGUAUUAGUUAUAAAAAUAGCAUGUAAGUACUACGAGCUUCUGCUUGUGAAUAAACAAAGUAUUUAGGUACAUUGUACAAUAUAUGGAGUUGUAUCUCCGCCGGCACGACUACGAGUAUUGGGUGGUUGGGCGCGAGAUAAAGCCUUGUCAUGUGGCACGUCCCACGGCCAUUGUUAGUGCGGGUCGUGCCAGGACGUGCCGCUACGUGCCUACGUGGCGGUAAGCGCGCCCUCAUAACUACUAUUUUGUUCUCUAAGUUCCGUUCUGAAAACAUGCCAUGGAUUUGUAAUCAGAAGUUAUUCUGUUACGUAAUGUUUGUUUCAAGUCGCAUCAAAGUAGCAGAGUGACAAAGUAGCAACGUUGUUAUUUAAAUUUGGAAAAUGAAAACAAUUUAUUCGAUAACUUCUUUAAAGGUGGAUUCGACCGCCGACCAUACUGAUAUAAAGUCUCUUUGGAAACAAUAUUUUAUCGAGUUCUGAUGUGGUUCUGAUAUAUUCAUACAAUUUUAAUUACUUAUAUUUCAAAUAAAAUAUGCAAUAUCCCUAAA